GACGAACGCUGGCGGCGUGCUUAACACAUGCAAGUCGAACGGAAAGGCCCUGCUUUUGUGGGGUGCCCGAGUGGCGAACGUGUGUGUAACACGUGAGUAACCUGCCCUUGACUUUGGGAUAACUUCAGGAAACUGGGGAUAAUACCGGAUAGGAGCUCCUGCUGCAUGGUGGGGGUUGGAAAGUUUCGGCGGUUGGGGAUGUACUCGCGGCUUAUCAGCUUGUUGGUGGGGUAGUGGCUUACCAAGGCUUUGACGGGUAGCCGGCCUGAGAGGGUGACCGGGCACAUUGGGACUGAGAGACGGCCCAGACUCGUACGGGGGGCAGCAGUGGGGAGUAUUGCACAAUGGGCGGACGCCUGUGGCAGAGACGCCGCGUGCGGAAUGACGGCCUUCGGGGUGUGAACCGCUUUCGCCUGAGACGAAGCGUGAGUGACGGUAAUGGGUAAAGAAGCACCGGCUAACUACGUG
rnacentral:rRNA from 1 species